UUGGUUUCUAAGUUUGAACAGACAGAACAUUCCAGAUUAAAUGAAAAUAACAGAAAUCAUCUCUGUAAGUGUGAUGGAGUCUGAAAUUGGAUUAACCUUCCAUUCUAAAACAAGCUUCAUCUGUCUCCCUUCCAGAAGCAAAUAUAAAUCAGCAUUUCCAGGGCAUGUGGCAAUGAGAGAGGACAAGGCUCACACCUGGCAGCCAUACCAAGUACAGGACAUCCAUAAAGGUGUACGCCAAGGCUCAGGGCCUUCUCUGCACAAGAAACAUCCCAGGCUUUGGGACCUCUCGGCACAUAGGAGCACACCCAGGUCUGGCCUCAAAGAGUGAGACCCUGUCAGACCCUGUCAACUGGGGGAGCACACCUAACGACCAGACAGCCAGCCACACAGCACACUGGAGGCAUCUGGAGUCCUUGCGCGGGGCCACAGUUCCCGCUGGGAGGACCCUCACCUUUUCCAGACCUCGGUCCUAGCAGUGAGGUAAACUCCAGUCCCUGGGAGGAUCUAUCGUGGCAAUGACUGCACCAGCUCUCGUCUGCCC